rnacentral:rRNA from 1 species
AGAGUUUGAUCCUGGCUCAGGAUGAACGCUGACAGAAUGCUUAACACAUGCAAGUCGAUGGGGAAGUGGUGCUUGCACCAUGGUAACCAUGGCGGACGGGUGAGUAACGCGUAAGGAACUUGCCUGCGGGACCGGGAUAACAGCAGGAAACUGCUGACAAGACCGGAUAAGGUCAUUAAGCCGCAUAGCUUAGUGAUGAAAGGAGACGCCUGCGGAGAGCCUUGCGUCCUAUUAGCUAGUUGGAGGGGUAACGGCCCACCAAGGCGAAGAUAGGUAGCCGGCCUGAGAGGGUGGACGGCCACAAGGGGACUGAGAUACGGCCCUUACUCCUACGGGAGGCAGCAGUGGGGAAUAUUGGACAAUGGGGGCAACCCUGAUCCAGCAAUUCUGUGUGCACGAAGACGGUUUUCGGAUUGUAAAGUGCUUUCAGCAGGGAAGAAGGAAGUGACGGUACCUGCAGAAGAAGCGACGGCUAAAUACGUGCCAGCAGCCGCGGUAAUACGUAUGUCGCGAGCGUUAUCCGGAAUUAUUGGGCAUAAAGGGCAUCUAGGCGGCCUUUCAAGUCAGGGGUGAAAACCUGCGGCUCAACCGCAGGCCUGCCUUUGAAACUGAUAGGCUGGAGUACCGGAGAGGUGGACGGAACUGCACGAGUAGAGGUGAAAUUCGUAGAUAUGUGCAGGAAUGCCGAUGAUGAAGAUAGUUCACUGGACGGUAACUGACGCUGAAGUGCGAAAGCCGGGGGAGCGAACAGGAUUAGAUACCCUGGUAGUCCCGGCCGUAAACGAUGAUUACUGGGUGUGGGCAGGAAGACUGUCUGUGCCGAAGCGAAUGCGAUAAGUAAUCCGCCUGGGGAGUACGGCCGCAAGGCUGAAACUCAAAGGAAUUGACGGGGACCCGCACAAGCGGUGGAGCAUGU